rnacentral:rRNA from 2 species
GCCUAUACAUGCAGUCGAACGAACUCUGGUAUUGAUUGGUGCUUGCAUCAUGAUUUACAUUUGAGUGAGUGGCGAACUGGUGAGUAACACGUGGGAAACCUGCCCAGAAGCGGGGGAUAACACCUGGAAACAGAUGCUAAUACCGCAUAACAACUUGGACCGCAUGGUCCGAGUUUGAAAGAUGGCUUCGGCUAUCACUUUUGGAUGGUCCCGCGGCGUAUUAGCUAGAUGGUGGGGUAACGGCUCACCAUGGCAAUGAUACGUAGCCGACCUGAGAGGGUAAUCGGCCACAUUGGGACUGAGACACGGCCCAAACUCCUACGGGAGGCAGCAGUAGGGAAUCUUCCACAAUGGACGAAAGUCUGAUGGAGCAACGCCGCGUGAGUGAAGAAGGGUUUCGGCUCGUAAAACUCUGUUGUUAAAGAAGAACAUAUCUGAGAGUAACUGUUCAGGUAUUGACGGUAUUUAACCAGAAAGCCACGGCUAACUACGUGCCAGCAGCCGCGGUAAUACGUAGGUGGCAAGCGUUGUCCGGAUUUAUUGGGCGUAAAGCGAGCGCAGGCGGUUUUUUAAGUCUGAUGUGAAAGCCUUCGGCUCAACCGAAGAAGUGCAUCGGAAACUGGGAAACUUGAGUGCAGAAGAGGACAGUGGAACUCCAUGUGUAGCGGUGAAAUGCGUAGAUAUAUGGAAGAACACCAGUGGCGAAGGCGGCUGUCUGGUCUGUAACUGACGCUGAGGCUCGAAAGUAUGGGUAGCAAACAGGAUUAGAUACCCUGGUAGUCCAUACCGUAAACGAUGAAUGCUAAGUGUUGGAGGGUUUCCGCCCUUCAGUGCUGCAGCUAACGCAUUAAGCAUUCCGCCUGGGGAGUACGGCCGCAAGGCUGAAACUCAAAGGAAUUGACGGGGGCCCGCACAAGCGGUGGAGCAUGUGGUUUAAUUCGAAGCUACGCGAAGAACCUUACCAGGUCUUGACAUACUAUGCAAAUCUAAGAGAUUAGACGUUCCCUUCGGGGACAUGGAUACAGGUGGGGGCAUGGUUGUCGUCAGCUCGUGUCGUGAGAAGUUUGGGGUUAAGUCCCGCAACGAGCGCAACCCUUAUUAUCAGUUGCCAGCAUUAAGUUGGGCACUCUGGUGAGACUGCCGGUGACAACCCGAGGAGAGAGGGGGGGGGAGAAAGCCAAAUAAUCAUGGCCCCUUAGGACCUGGGGUACACCCUGGCUCCAAAAGGAA